AUUGAUGGCUGUGCGGUUGCACAAAAUCUAUAGGUUUUUGUGAGGAAAGUCCGAGCUCCAUAAAAACAUAGUGCUGGGUAAUACCCAGCAGAAGUAAUUCUAGGGAAAGUGCCACAGAGAAUAUACCGCCAAAAGAUUUUGGUAAGGGUGAAAAGGUAAGGUAAGAGCUUACCGGUAGUUUGGUAAUAAAUUACGCAUGGUAAACCCCACUAGGAGCAAGACCAAAUAGAAGCAAUACAUAACUGGAAUAAUGUUAUAAUAGAUGUUUUUAUCUAGUUGCUUGGGUAGGUCGCUUGAGGUAAAUAGUAAUAUUUAUCCCAGAUAAAUAACCGUAAUAUUUUACAGAACUCGGCUUAUAGGCCAUCAAUAUAA
rnacentral:RNase_P_RNA from 2 species